GACGAACGCUGGCGGCGUGCUUAACACAUGCAAGUCGAACGGAAAGGCCCUGCUUUUGUGGGGUGCUCGAGUGGCGACCGGGUGAGUAACACGUGAGUAACCUGCCAUUGACUUUGGGAUAACUUCAGGAAACUGGGGCUAAUACCGGAUAGGAGCUCCUGCUGCAUGGUGGGGGCUGGAAAGUUUCGGCGGUUGGGGAUGGACUCGCGGCUUAUCAGCUUGUUGGUGGGGUAGUGGAUUACCAAGGCUUUGACGGGUAGCCGGCCUGAGAGGGUGACCGGCCACAUUGGGACUGAGAUACGGCCCAGACUCCUACGGGAGGCAGCAGUGGGGAAUAGUGCACAAUGGGCGGAAGCCUGAUGCAGCAACGCCGCGUGCGGGAUGACGGCCUUCGGGUUGUAAACCGCUUUCGCCUGUGACGAAGCGUGAGUGACGGUAAUGGGGAAAGAAGCACCGGCUAACUACGU
rnacentral:rRNA from 1 species